rnacentral:rRNA from 1 species
GGGGUCAGUAGGUUGGUCGUGCCACCGGUACGUACUGGUCUCACUGAUUCCUCCUUCCUGAAGAACCGUAAUGCCACUAAUUUGGUGUUGCGGGGAAACAGGACUGUUACUUUGAAAAAAUUAGAGUGUUUAAAGCAAGCUAACGCUUGAAUACAUUAGCAUGGAAUAAUGAAAUAGGACGAUCGAUCCUAUUUUGUUGGUUUCUAGGAUUGACGUA